UACGUAGGGUGCGAGCGUUAUUCGGAAUUACUGGGCGUAAAGCGUGCGCAGGCGGAUGUGUAAGACAGGUGUGAAAUCCCCGGGCUUAACCUGGAAACUGCGCUUGUGACUGCACAGCUAGAGUAUGGCAGAGGGGGGUGGAAUUCCACGUGUAGCAGUGAAAUGCGUAGAGAUGUGGAGGAACACCGAUGGCGAAAGCAACCCCCUGGGCCAAUACUGACGCUCAUGCACGAAAGCGUGGGGAGCAAACAGG
rnacentral:misc_RNA from 1 species